rnacentral:rRNA from 1 species
GCACAAGCAGUGGAGUAUGUGGUUUAAUUCGAAGCAACGCGAAGAACCUUACCAGGUCUUGACAUCCCGAUGACCGCCUUAGAGAUAAGGCUUUUCUUCGGAACAUCGGUGACAGGUGGUGCAUGGUUGUCGUCAGCUCGUGUCGUGAGAUGUUGGGUUAAGUCCCGCAACGAGCGCAACCCUUACGGUUAGUUGAUACGCAAGAUCACUCUAGCCGGACUGCCGUUGACAAAA